AUGAACGCUAGCGACAGGCUUAACACACGCAAGUCGAGGGGCAUCAUGAGGUAGCAAUACCUUGAUGGCGACCGGCGCACGGGUGAGUAACGCGUAUGCAACCUGCCCGAUACCGGGGUAUAGCCCAUGGAAACGUGGAUUAACACCCCAUAGUACUUUUAUCCUGCAUGGGAUGUGAGUUAAAUGUUCAAGGUAUCGGAUGGGCAUGCGUCCUAUUAGUUAGUUGGCGGGGUAACAGCCCACCAAGACGAUGAUAGGUAGGGGUUCUGAGAGGAAGGUCCCCCACAUUGGAACUGAGACACGGUCCAAACUCCUACGGGAGGCAGCAGUGAGGAAUAUUGGUCAAUGGACGUAAGUCUGAACCAGCCAAGUCGCGUGAGGGAAGACUGCCCUAUGGGUUGUAAACCUCUUUUAUAAGGGAAGAAUAAGUUCUACGUGUAGAAUGAUGCCUGUACCUUAUGAAUAAGCAUCGGCUAACUCCGUGCCAGCAGCCGCGGUAAUACGGAGGAUGCGAGCGUUAUCCGGAUUUAUUGGGUUUAAAGGGUGCGUAGGCGGUUUAUUAAGUUAGUGGUUAAAUAUUUGAGCUAAACUCAAUUGUGCCAUUAAUACUGGUAAACUGGAGUACAGACGAGGUAGGCGGAAUAAGUUAAGUAGCGGUGAAAUGCAUAGAUAUAACUUAGAACUCCGAUAGCGAAGGCAGCUUACCAGACUGUAACUGACGCUGCUGCACGAGAGCGUGGGUAGCGAACAGGAUUAGAUACCCUGGUAGUCCACGCCGUAAACGAUGCUCACUGGUUCUGUGCGAUAUAUUGUACGGGAUUAAGCGAAAGUAUUAAGUGAGCCACCUGGGGAGUACGUCGGCAACGAUGCAACUCAAAUGAAUUGACGGA
rnacentral:rRNA from 1 species